CCGGGGCUCAGCGGAGGUGACUCCAGGAGACAACGUCCCCCGGAACUUCAGUGGAACGUAAUAUAUAUAUUUACUGAGACUUUUCUGAACAGACUGGAGGCCAAACAUUGUGUCCCCAUCCAAACAGAAUACUUUGUAUACACCUAUGUGUUAAAGGGCGUCCAAUUCAAUCUGCAUGUAGACCAGUGGUCUCAAACUGUGACCAGCAUGCCUGGUCAGCCAAAAGCCUGUCUGCCUUCUCCAAAGGAUCUACACCGUCCCUGAAAGGAACUGUCCAGAGCAGGAGAAAAUCCCCAUAGCAAACAGUCUGUUGCUGCGAGGCUGCUCCUCUGCGUCUAGCCUCUGUACGAUAAUAUUGGAAGUUGAAUAAAGAUUUCUACCAGCAAGAGAUCCGGCCUUUAGCCAAAACAAAAAAAGGACCGAAACUAGAAGGAGCGUGACUUGCAGGAGGGGAUAGCUUGCACACCGGACUGACACACUCUCCAGGAAUUGCGGAGCUUGUGGAGUAAGGUACUGGAAGUCCCUAAGACUUGCAUGGGGCUUUAGAUUAAAACCCUGUCCCUCGCAAUGGAGGAGGCGGAGCCAGGUCAAAGAAGUAUCUGACAGCUAAGAACAGUAUUACCCUGAAUGAAUAUCCGGAAACAAAGUGUUAAUCAGCUCAUCACCCUCCACAAGUCCUGCCACUGCACUGACAGGAAAGGACCUCAAUUCCAGAGAGCACUUAGGUAAGGAAGGAAACAACCAGCGCUGCUUAAGCAGCGCUGGAUGUUUCCUCCCUUACCUAAGUACCCUGUAUGAAUGGGGCAGUCCCUGUCCGCACUGCUGCUCCAACUUUUGGAGACUGCUGAAGAUAGACAAAGCCGAAGAUAGUCCUCAUUUACAGUUUAAUGGGGUUUACAAAAAAAAAAGUUAUCCCCUAUCCACAGGAUAGGUGAUAACUAGCUGAUCGGUGGUAGUCUGACCACUGGAACCUCCACCUAU